GAUGAACGCUGGCGGCGUGCCUAAUACAUGCAAGUCGAGCGAACGGACGAGAAUCUUUCUUCUCUUAUGUUAGCGGCGGACGGGUGAGUAACACGUGGCUAACCUACCUAUAAGACUGGGAUCACUUCGGGAAACCGUUGCUAAUACCGUAUAAUAUUUUGAACCGCAUGGUUCAACAGUGAAAGACUGUCUUGCUGUCACUUAUCGAUUGAUCCGCGCUGCAUUAGCUAGUUGUUAAGGUAACGGCUUACCAAGGCAACGAUGCAUAGCCGACCUGAGAGGGUGAUCGGCCACACUGGAACUGAGACACGGUCCAGACUCCUACGGGAGGCAACAGUAGGGAAUCUUCCGCAAAGGGCGAAAGCCUGACGGAGCAAAGCCGCGUGAGUGAUGAAGGUCUUCGGAUCGUAAAACACUGUUAUUAGGGAAGAACAGAUGUGUAAGUAAAUGUGCACAUCUUGACGGUACCAAAUCAGAAAGCAACGGCUAACUACGUG
rnacentral:rRNA from 1 species